rnacentral:rRNA from 1 species
UACGAAGGGGGCUAGCGUUGGCUCGGAAUCACUGGGCGUAAAGGGUGCGUAGGCGGGUCUUUAAGUCAGGGGUGAAAUCCUGGAGCUCAACUCCAGAACUGCCUUUGAUACUGGAGGAUCUUGAGUUCGGGAGAGGUGAGUGGAACUGCGAGUGUAGAGGUGAAAUUCGUAGAUAUUCGGCAAGAACACCAGUGGCGAAGGCGGCUCACUGGCCCGAUACUGACGCUGAUGGCACGAAAGCGUCGGGAGCAAACAGG